rnacentral:rRNA from 1 species
UACGUAGGGUGCAAGCGUUGUCCGGAAUUAUUGGGCGUAAAGAGCUCGUAGGCGGUCUGUCACGUCGGCUGUGAAAACCCGAGGCUCAACCUCGGGCCUGCAGUCGAUACGGGCAAACUAGAGUACUGCAGGGGAGACUGGAAUUCCUGGCGUAGCGGUGAAAUGCGCAGAUAUCAGGAGGAACACCGGUGGCGAAGGCGGGUCUCUGGGCAGUAACUGACGCUGAGGAGCGAAAGCGUGGGGAGCGAACAGG